UGGGGAAUAUUGGACAAUGGGCGCAAGCCUGAUCCAGCCAUGCCGCGUGUGUGAAGAAGGCCUUUUGGUUGUAAAGCACUUUAAGCGAGGAGGAGGCUACUUGGAUUAAUACUCUAGGAUAGUGGACGUUACUCGCAGAAUAAGCAGCGGCUAACUCUGUGCCAGCAGCCGCGGUAAUACAGAGGGUGCGAGCGUUAAUCGGAUUUACUGGGCGUAAAGCGUGCGUAGGCGGCUUCUUAAGUCGGAUGUGAAAUCCCUGAGCUUAACUUAGGAAUUGCAUUCGAUACUGGGAAGCUAGAGUAUGGGAGAGGAUGGUAGAAUUCCAGGUGUAGCGGUGAAAUGUGUAGAGAUCUGGAGGAAUACCGAUGGCGAAGGCAGCCAUCUGGCCUAAUACUGACGCUGAGGUACGAAAGCAUGGGGAGCAAACAGG
rnacentral:rRNA from 1 species